UACGGAGGGUGCAAGCGUUGUCCGGAUUUAUUGGGUUUAAAGGGUGCGUAGGCGGCUUAUUAAGUCAGGGGUGAAAGACUAUUGCUUAACAAUGGCAGUGCCUUUGAUACUGAUAGGCUUGAGUACAUUUGAGGCAGAUGGAACGGGUGGUGUAGCGGUGAAAUGCAUAGAUACCAUCCAGAACACCGAUUGCGAAGGCAGUCUGCUAAACUGUAACUGACGCUGAGGCACGAAAGCGUGGGGAUCGAACAGG
rnacentral:rRNA from 1 species